rnacentral:rRNA from 1 species
UUAUAAAAUGAUCGGAGGGAUGUAGCUUCGAUUUCGAUUGAAGUGUUAUAACCUUUGGUAGAUGUAACUGUCGGGACCGAGGAUUGCAACGGAUACCCUAACGGGCUAUUCGUCUGGCCUCUGAUACGACACUUCGGCGUCGAAAGCUUGCUUACGAUGUUGAAGCGUUCGGUCAAAAGGUUAGGACGGAUUAAAUUCGUUAAGGAUGCUGACGUAAUGGCUUUAAACGACCCGUCUUGAAACACGGACCAAGGAGUCUAACAUAUAUGCGAGUGUUUGGGCGUAGAAACCCUUACGCGUAAUGAAAGUAAUUCAGGUGGGAUCCGUUUUUUUCGCGGAGCACCAUCGACCGAUCAGGAUAUUUUUUGAUAGAUUUGAGUGAGAGCAUAUCUGUUGGGACCCGAAAGAUGGUGAACUAUGCCUGAAUAGGGUGAAGUCAGAGGAAACUCUGAUGGAGGCUCGUAGCGGUUCUGACGUGCAAAUCGAUCGUCAAAUUUGGGUAUAGGGGCGAAAGACUAAUCGAACCAUCUAGUAGCUGGUUCCUGCCGAAGUUUCCCUCAGGAUAGCAGAAACUCAUUAACAGUUUUAUGAGGUAAAGCGAAUGAUUAGAGGCCUUAGGGUUGAAACAGCCUUAACCUAUUCUCAAACUUUAAAUAUGUAAGAAGUUCACAGUUACUUAAUUGAACUUGAACCUUCGAAUGAGAGUUUCUAGUGGGCCAUUUUUGGUAAGCAGAACUGGCGAUGCGGGAUGAACCGAACGUAAGGUUAAGGUGCCAAAAUUUACGCUCAUUUAGAUACCACAAAAGGUGUUAGUUCAUCUG